rnacentral:sRNA from 1 species
AUGUACUACGAGUACAUUCCGGUUCCUGCGCUCCGGACGCACCCAAACUGGCUGCGCUCGCUACAUUUUGAAACAGCU